UAAUGCUUGGGAAUCUAGCUUAUGGAGGGGGAUAACUACGGGAAACUGUAGCUAAUACCGCGUAGAAUCGAGAGAUGAAAGUGUGGGACCUUCGGGCCACAUGCCAUAGGAUGAGCCCAAGUGGGAUUAGGUAGUUGGUGAGGUAAAGGCUCACCAAGCCGACGAUCUCUAGCUGGUCUGAGAGGAUGACCAGCCACACUGGGACUGAGACACGGCUCAG
rnacentral:rRNA from 1 species